UACAGAGGUCUCAAGCGUUGUUCGGAUUCAUUGGGCGUAAAGGGUGUGUGGGUGGCGCCGUAAGUGGGGUGUGAAAUCUCGGGGCUUAACUCCGAAACUGCAUUCCAUACUGCGGUGCUUGAGGACUGGAGAGGAGACUGGAAUUCAUGGUGUAGCAGUGAAAUGCGUAGAGAUCAUGAGGAAGACCAGUGGCGAAGGCGGGUCUCUGGACAGUUCCUGACACUGAGACACGAAGGCCAGGGGAGCAAACGGG
rnacentral:rRNA from 1 species